rnacentral:rRNA from 1 species
GCAAGUCGAGCGAAGCGCUCACGCGGAAUUUUUCGGAAGGAAGCGGGAGUGACUUAUUGGCGGACGGGUGAGUAACGCGUGGGUAACCUGCCCCAUACCGGGGGAUAACGGUUAGAAAUGACCGCUAAUACCGCGUAAGCGCGCGAGGCCGCAUGGCCCCGGGCGAAAAACUCCGGUGGUAUGGGAUGGGCCCGCGUCUGAUUAGCUGGUUGGCGGGGUAAAGGCCCACCAAGGCGACGAUCAGUAGCCGACCUGAGAGGGUGGCCGGCCACAUUGGGACUGAGACACGGCCCAAACUCCUACGGGAGGCAGCAGUGGGGAAUAUUGCGCAAUGGGGGAAACCCUGACGCAGCAACGCCGCGUGAGUGAGGAAGUAUCUCGGUAUGUAAAGCUCUAUCAGCGGGGAAGAAAGAGGACGGUACCCGACUAAGAAGCCCCGGCUAACUACGUGCCAGCAGCCGCGGUAAUACGUAGGGGGCGAGCGUUAUCCGGAUUUACUGGGUGUAAAGGGAGCGUAGACGGCGUCGCAAGUCUGAAGUGAAAGCCCGUGGCUCAACCGCGGAACCGCUUUGGAAACUGCGAGGCUGGAGUGCUGGAGAGGUAAGCGGAAUUCCUGGUGUAGCGGUGAAAUGCGUAGAUAUCAGGAGGAACACCGGUGGCGAAGGCGGCUUACUGGACAGUGACUGACGUUGAGGCUCGAAAGCGUGGGGAGCGAACAGGAUUAGAUACCCUGGUAGUCCACGCGGUAAACGAUGAGUGCUAGGUGUCGGGGGGCAAAGCCCCUCGGUG